CCAACCUCCCACCCGUGUUUACUGUACCUUAGUUGCUUCGGCGGGCCCGCCAUUCAUGGCCGCCGGGGGCUCUCAGCCCCGGGCCCGCGCCCGCCGGAGACACCACGAACUCUGUCUGAUCUAGUGAAGUCUGAGUUGAUUGUAUCGCAAUCAGUUAAAACUUUCAACAAUGGAUCUCUUGGUUCCGGCAUCGAUGAAGAACGCAGCGAAAUGCGAUAACUAGUGUGAAUUGCAGAAUUCCGUGAAUCAUCGAGUCUUUGAACGCACAUUGCGCCCCCUGGUAUUCCGGGGGGCAUGCCUGUCCGAGCGUCAUUGCUGCCCAUCAAGCACGGCUUGUGUGUUGGGUCGUCGUCCCCUCUCCGGGGGGGACGGGCCCCAAAGGCAGCGGCGGCACCGCGUCCGAUCCUCGAGCGUAUGGGGCUUUGUCACCCGCUCUGUAGGCCCGGCCGGCGCUUGCCGAACGCAAAUCAAUCUUUUUCCAGGUUGACCUCGGAUCAGGUAGGGAUACCCGCUGAACUUAAGCAUAUCAA
rnacentral:rRNA from 1 species